AUGACGGGAUUGGUAAGGAGGAUGAGGAGAAAGCGGGCAGGGAUGCUGCAUGGAUUGGUGGCCCUGCGGGAGAACAGUCAUGACACCGCUCGGGGUCUGCAAGCACCUCCAGUCCGCGCGCAGGCGUCGGCUCUGACCCGGCUCCGCGGAGGCCGUGCUCCCGCCCGUGAGUCGUUGCACACAGCGCUGCUGCUUCAUGAGGGGAGGGUUUGCCCAGCUCGUAGGCGGUCUCAGAACGGGGACCGCGUCUUCGGGUCGCGGGAACCCUCGGUGUUAGGCGGGGGUCUACCGUGGCUCCGACAGACGCACCGCGGAGGGUGUGCGGGGUUUUAUUUAAAGGCCUUCUCUAACGCAGCGGUGGCUAUGUCUAUCUCCCCAUUAGACGGAGGAGGCGGAACAGACGGGGCCUUGCUGCUUGUGAAACGUACAGUGAAGUGCAAACGCCAGGUCUCUUGGUGCGCCUUAAAACCUGCAGCGUCUCUGCUGCCCCGGUCCUCGCGGACACGUGCUCAGCCGCGCAGCUCCCGGCGCGAGGCGGCCCUGCACGUGGCGCGGUGCCCAAGGGCCUCCCGGGAGCGCUCGUCUGCGCGUGCGCGGACCGGGCCAGCCCGCAGCCCCGCCCACAACCCGGCCCCCUCCUAUCCCGCCCCGCGGGACUGCUGUGCUUGCGCGGACGCGCCCCCGCGCACGCUUCCGGCCUGGCGGGCCGCAGUGCGCACGCGCAAACGCAGCUGGCUGCCCGACCAGGCCCCGCGGGCUACGGAGCACGCGUGGACUCGAGCGGCGAGUGGAGUGAGGAGCCCGCGCCGACUCCGCUCGUCCGCGUCUCCCGACACGGUGUGAGAUGAGUGACUCCGAAAACGAGGGGCCCCCCCAGCUUUCUUCAUACGCCCUUGCAGCUCUGCAGGAGUUUUAUGCUGAGCAGCAGCACCACCACUCUGACCUCUGUGGUGACGACAAGUACAACAUCGGGAUAAUAGAAGAGAACUGGCAGCUGAGCCAGUUCUGGUACAGCCCGGAGACGGCCACGUGCCUUGCUGAGGAUGCAGUGGCAGCUGCCGGGGAGGGCGGCAGAAUAGCGUGUGUGAGCGCCCCCAGUGUCUACCAGAAGCUGAGAGAGCGGCACAGAGACGAUGUCUCCGUCUGCAUCUUCGAGUACGACCGCAGGUUUGCCAUAUACGGAGAGGACUUUGUCUACUAUGACUACAAGAACCCUGUGGACUUACCUGAGAGGAUCGCCACACACAGCUUUGACAUCGUCGUGGCAGAUCCCCCCUAUCUCUCGGAGGAAUGUCUUAGGAAAAUGUCAGAAACCAUCAAGCUCCUGACCCGGGGAAAGAUCCUGCUGUGCACAGGUGCUGUCAUGGAGGACGCGGCAGCAAAGCUGCUUGGAGUGAAGAUGUGCAAGUUUAUUCCAGAACACACUCGAACCCUGGGAAAUGAGUUUCGCUGUUUCGUGAAUUACAACUCCGGGCUGGACUGUAAUCUGUCAGUGCAGCUCCCAGUACAGGAAGGACCCAAGUGACGUUUCCUCUCUGAAAAACUACCACCUCCCCUGUCCUCAUUUUCGAGGUAAAGACAUUAUGAUUUCCUUAGGAUGUCCCUGGAGCUCAGGGUGCUUUUGCCAACUUGAGUCUGUAGCAUUAUAUCUGGAAGAACUUUUAGACCCCAUCUAGUGGAGAAGGCAAUGGCACCCCACUCCAGUACUCUUGCCUGGAAAAUCCCACAGACGGAGGAGCCUGGUAUGCUGCAGUCCAUGGGGUCGCUGGGAGUCGGACACGACUGAGCGACUUCCAUUUCACUUUCAUGCACUGGAGAAGGAAAUGGCAACCCAUUCCAGUGUUCUUGCCUGGAGAAUCCCAGGGACGGGGGAGCCUGGUGGGCUGCAGUCUAUGGGGUCGCACAGAGUCUGACACACCUGAAAUGACUUAGCAGCAGCAGCAGUCUGCUCUCCUCACUUAACACAGGUAAAGAGCUGUACGUAGUGACCAGCCAAGACCUCAGCCCCUGGCUCUAACAGCCAGGGAGUUUGUAGUUGAGGAUGCAGUUUGUGUCCAGAAGAGGGAGGGCACAUGCCCAGUAAAUAUUUGUUAAAUGUUUCCAUUCAGAGAGAAGGUGCAAAUAAAGGUUACCUUUCUGG
rnacentral:lncRNA from 1 species